rnacentral:rRNA from 1 species
CCUACGGGUGGCAGCAGUGAGGAAUAUUGGUCAAUGGACGAAAGUCUGAACCAGCCAAGCCGCGUGCAGGAUGACGGCUCUAUGAGUUGUAAACUGCUUUUGUACGAGGGUAAACGCAUAUACGCGUAUGUGUCUGUAAGUAUCAUACGAAUAAGGAUCGGCUAACUCCGUGCCAGCAGCCGCGGUAAUACGGAGGAUUCGAGCGUUAUCCGGAUUUAUUGGGUUUAAAGGGUGCGUAGGCGGUCGGUUAAGUCAGUUGUGAAAUUUUGAGGCUCAACUUCGGAAUUGCCGUUGAAACUGGCCGGCUUGAGAGUAGUAGCGGUAGGCGGAAUGCGUGGUGUAGCGGUGAAAUGCUUAGAGAUCACGCAGAACACCGAUUGCGAAGGCAGCUCACCGGGCUACUACUGACACUGAGGCACGAAAGUGUGGGUAUCAAACAGGAUUAGAUACCCCUGUAGUC